UACAGAGGUCUCAAGCGUUGUUCGGAUUCAUUGGGCGUAAAGGGCGCGUAGGCGGCGGGGUAAGUCGGGUGUGAAAUCUCAGAGCUCAACUCUGAAACUGCACUCGAUACUGCUCUGCUUGAGGACUGGAGAGGAGACUGGAAUUCACGGUGUAGCAGUGAAAUGCGUAGAUAUCGUGAGGAAGACCAGUGGCGAAGGCGGGUCUCUGGACAGUUCCUGACGCUGAGGCGCGAAGGCCAGGGGAGCG
rnacentral:rRNA from 1 species